AUGUAUAUAAGUGUAAAUGUGUAUGCAUUACCUAAUAACGGUAUAAAGUGUAGCAACGGCUGUUGCUUUGCUUUUUUUUUUUGUUAUUUUUUAAGUGUUGUGUUAUUGAAGUGAUACAAUUUAAUUAAAUUUUAAAGGUGUGUAGUGAUAUAAAAGUGAUAGAAGUAUAAUUUAAAGUGGCGUCUACUUAUGUAUGUAUGUAUGUAUGUACAUACGUAGCAUUUUAAAAAUCUCACCAAAAGGAUUAAGAGAACUUGGCGAUAUUUGUAUGUGAAAUGAUACGCUAUUUUUCCCAGUGCACCCAUAAAAUGUACAUGGCGUUAUACUAACGCUGGCAUGUGGCCAUUUUAUUUGGCAAGCUGCAUGCAGGAUGAAACGGAACGGAAUGAAACGGAAACGCAACGACACGGAAUGGAACGGAUGGAGGGUUGCAUUUUUCGCGAAGAAGAGGAAGACGAGAAGGAAGAAGUUGGAGGCCCGUGUGGCACAGUUGACACUUAAAAUUUAUGCGUUUCCACAUAAAGAAACCAAACCGAACAUUAAAAAGCAGUCGGCCAACGGGAAACGGAAGUCGCAGGCACCAGGCAAAUAAAAAUACAAUUGAAAUCUGGGGAUGAAAGGGGGCAAUGAAAAUGAAACAUAAACACAAACACCAAGAGGCGGAAGGCCAUGUGUGUAUUCAGCAAGUCUCAACAUGCAACACGCGGCUUUGACAUUAAGGACACGGCCAAUAGUGAUGACCUAACGGAUCGCAACGAAUCGUAAAAAUAUGCUUGAUAAGGAAAAUUGUAGGAUACAAUAAUUGUUAAGAAACAGAAUCUUUUAUUUCCUACCCAAAAAUAGUACUGAAAACAUAGAACCACUUCUAUAUUAAUAAAGUGUAUGAAUGAAUUGCUCAAUGCUAAGAUUCUGUGACUUUCAUUCGUAUACGUAAUUCACAACAUUUUAACGACGAUUUUCAUAUUAAUAAACCAUCAUAAUCCAAUACAAAUGCAAAGCCGUAGCCACGUUCGGACUUAACUGUUUCAGUCGCCUGGCAUUUGUUUAAACUGCCAAGAACUUGAUUUUAAUUAAGUUGCCAGCCCAGUCAGUCACAUGCAUAAAUCGCAUUAUCCAGGUCGGGUGGGCGCAGAGAGGAGUGUGAAACAUUUAAUUAACUUAACAAAUGGCUGCCAACUGCUGCUGCCGGGAUAAACUGUACUUGCCGGUCGGCAAAAAGGAUAACCGUUAAUGCCACAGAAGGACAGAGGCUGCGGGAUUUCCCUCCACAUUUCACUUUAUGACCCCACACACACACUCCCAUUAAGGACAUCAGCUUUAUGGCCAGCAUUUAACAUCCCUCAAAGCGAGUCGUUUCCGCAAUUAUCAUCCUUGUUGCUAGGUCGUGCUUCGAUUAACCGUUACCAACUAGGGUCGAAAAACAUCGAUAGUAUCGAUACUAUUGUACAUUGUUGUCAAACUUUUACUUCACAAGUUACUCACCUAUAGC
rnacentral:sRNA from 1 species